ACGACCGCUGGCGGCUGCUUAACACAUGCAAGUCGAACGGAGUGGCGAACGGGUGAGUAACACGUGAGCAACAUGCCGAUGACAGUGGGAUAGCCUCGGGAAACCGGGAUUAAUACCGGAUAGUCAUAGAUGGGCUGGGGUCUGAUUAGCUAGUUGGAGAGAUAACAGCCCACCAAGGCGACGAUCAGUAGCCGGUCUGAGAGGAUGAACGGCCACAUUGGAACUGAGACACGGUCCAAACUCCUACGGGAGGCAGCAGUGGGGAAUAUUACACAAUGGGGGAAACCCUGAUGCAGCGACGCCGCGUGAACGAAGAAGGUAUUCGUAUCGUAAAGUUCUGUCCUAUGGGAAGCAGUACCAUAGAAGAAAGCUCCGGCUAAAUACGUGCCAGCAGCCGCGGUAAUUC
rnacentral:rRNA from 1 species